rnacentral:rRNA from 1 species
UACAGAGGUGGCAAGCGUUGUUCGGAAUUACUGGGCGUAAAGGGCGCGUAGGCGGCCAACUAAGUCAGACGUGAAAUCCCCUGGCUCAACCAGGGAACUGCGUCUGAUACUGGAUGGCUUGAAUCCGGGAGAGGGAUGUGGAAUUCCAGGUGUAGCGGUGAAAUGCGUAGAUAUCUGGAGGAACACCGGUGGCGAAGGCGGCAUCCUGGACCGGUAUUGACGCUGAGGCGCGAAAGCCAGGGGAGCAAACGGG